GACGAACGCUGGCGGCGUGCUUAACACAUGCAAGUCGAACGCUGAAGCUUGGUGCUUGCACUGGGUGGAUGAGUGGCGAACGGGUGAGUAAUACGUGAGUAACCUGCCCUUGACUCUGGGAUAAGCCUGGGAAACUGGGUCUAAUACUGGAUAUGACAUGCCACUGCAUGGUGGUGUGUGGAAAGGGUUUUACUGGUUUUGGAUGGGCUCACGGCCUAUCAGCUUGUUGGUGGGGUAAUGGCCUACCAAGGCGACGACGGGUAGCCGGCCUGAGAGGGUGAGCGGCCACACUGGGACUGAGACACGGCCCAGACUCCUACGGGAGGCAGCAGUGGGGAAUAUUGCACAAUGGGCGGAAGCCUGAUGCAGCGACGCCGCGUGAGGGAUGACGGCCUUCGGGUUGUAAACCUCUUUCAGCACGGAAGAAGCGAGAGUGACGGUACGUGCAGAAGAAGCGCCGGCUAACUACGUG
rnacentral:rRNA from 1 species